CCCCUGGGAGUCCAGCGGUCAAGACUCUGCACUUCCAAUGCAUGGGUGCAGGUUCAAUUCCUGACUGGGGAA
rnacentral:tRNA from 1 species